rnacentral:rRNA from 1 species
AGUGAACGCUGGCGGUAGGCCUAACACAUGCAAGUCGAACGGCAGCACAGUAAGAGCUUGCUCUUACGGGUGGCGAGUGGCGGACGGGUGAGGAAUACAUCGGAAUCUACUUUUUCGUGGGGGAUAACGUAGGGAAACUUACGCUAAUACCGCAUACGACCUACGGGUGAAAGCAGGGGAUCUUCGGACCUUGCGCGAUUGAAUGAGCCGAUGUCGGAUUAGCUAGUUGGCGGGGUAAAGGCCCACCAAGGCGACGAUCCGUAGCUGGUCUGAGAGGAUGAUCAGCCACACUGGAACUGAGACACGGUCCAGACUCUGACGGGAGGCAGCAGUGGGGAAUAUUGGACAAUGGGCGCAAGCCUGAUCCAGCCAUACCGCGUGGGUGAAGAAGGCCUUCGGGUUGUAAAGCCCUUUUGUUGGGAAAGAAAAGCAGCAGGUUAAUACCCCGCUGUUCUGACGGUACCCAAAGAAUAAGCACCGGCUAACUUCGUG